GGGGAUGUAGGCUAAUGGUAAACUCCUUCUCUCCAAAAGAAGGGUUCUUGGUUCAAGUCCAGGCAUCCCCG
rnacentral:tRNA from 1 species